UACGAAGGGGGCUAGCGUUGCUCGGAAUGACUGGGCGUAAAGGGCGCGUAGGCGGUUUGGACAGUCAGGCGUGAAAUUCCCGGGCUUAACCUGGGGGCUGCGCUUGAUACAUCCAGGCUUGAGUGGGGAAGAGGGUCGUGGAAUUCCCAGUGUAGAGGUGAAAUUCGUAGAUAUUGGGAAGAACACCGGUGGCGAAGGCGGCGACCUGGUCCUUUACUGACGCUGAGGCGCGAAAGCGUGGGAGCAAACAGG
rnacentral:rRNA from 1 species